rnacentral:rRNA from 1 species
UCGUUGUAGCAAUACGAUGGAAAGUUUAGUGGCGAACGGGUGCUUAACACGUGGGCAACCUGCCAGGAAGUGGGGGAUAGCUCGCCGAAAGGCGAAUUAAUACCGCAUGUGAUUAGAGAGGACAUCCUUUCAAAAUUAAAGUCGGGGCAACCUGACGCUUCUUGUGGGGCCCGCGGCCUAUCAGCUAGUUGGUGAGGUAACGGCCCACCAAGGCUUUGACGGGUAGCUGGUCUGAGAGGACGACCAGCCACACUGGGACUGAGACACGGCCCAGACACCUACGGGUGGCAGCAGUCGAGAAUUUUUGACAAUGGGGGAAACCCUGAUCGAGCGACGCCGCGUGGAGGAUGAAGGUCUUCGGAUUGUAAACUCCUGUCAUUGGGGAACAAUGCACAGAUAUUAACUGUAUUUGUGUUGAUAGUACCCGAAGAGGAAGAGACGGCUAACUCUGUGCCAGCAGCCGCGGUAAUACAGAGGUCUCAAGCGUUGUUCGGAUUCAUUGGGCGUAAAGGGUGCGUAGGCGGCGCGGUAAGUCGGGUGUGAAAUCUCGGAGCUUAACUCCGAAACUGCAUUCGAUACUGCCGUGCUUGAGGACUGGAGAGGAGACUGGAAUUCUCGGUGUAGCA